rnacentral:rRNA from 1 species
UACGAAGGGGGCUAGCGUUGCUCGGAAUGACUGGGCGUAAAGGGCGCGUAGGCGGUGCGGUAAGUCACCUGUGAAAUCUCCUGGCUCAACUGGGAGCUUGCAGGCGAAACUGCCGUGCUGGAGUGUGGGAGAGGUGCGUGGAAUUCCUGGUGUAGCGGUGAAAUGCGCAGAUAUCAGGAGGAACACCAAUGGCGAAGGCAGCUCGCUAGGACGUGACUGACGCUGAGACGCGAAAGCGUGGGGAGCAAACAGG